rnacentral:rRNA from 1 species
AGCGAACGCUGGCGGCAGGCCUAACACAUGCAAGUCGAACGAACUCUUCGGAGUUAGUGGCGGACGGGUGAGUAACACGUGGGAACGUGCCUUUUGGUUCGGAAUAACUCAGGGAAACUUGUGCUAAUACCGAAUGUGCCCUUCGGGGGAAAGAUUUAUCGCCAUUAGAGCGGCCCGCGUCUGAUUAGCUAGUUGGUGAGGUAAUGGCUCACCAAGGCGACGAUCAGUAGCUGGUCUGAGAGGAUGACCAGCCACACUGGGACUGAGACACGGCCCAGACUCCUACGGGAGGCAGCAGUGGGGAAUCUUGCGCAAUGGGCGAAAGCCUGACGCAGCCAUGCCGCGUGAAUGAUGAAGGUCUUAGGAUUGUAAAAUUCUUUCACCGGAGACGAUAAUGACGGUACCCGGAGAAGAAGCCCCGGCUAACUUCGUG